GCCCCACCUCCUCACUAGCUAGCUCACUAGCUAGCUCACUUGCUAAGACCGUCCUUGCUUAGAAUUGCUCUCAGAAAACUCCGGAAUCACUCUUCAGUCAAGAUUCAUUAUAAGGAAAUGAGGAGAAGACUCUGAGAAGGUCGAGACCGAUGUUUACAGAGUCUGAACGGCAUUCAAUAAUCAUGCCGGAUGGGAUGUGUCAAUCAGCAGAAGGUCUAGUCUGGGAUGGACAUAUUCAUCUACAAAAGCACCAUCAUGUCGUCCAUCAGACCCAAGAAAAUAAUGGUAAUGGUUUUAUUUCAUUUGAACAUGCAUCAGAUUACAAUUGAAUGCAUCACAUAAUCAGUUCACAGUUCCACAUGUCCAAAAGGAGUAGGAAGAAGCAAAGCUUAUUAAAUUCUACCUCUUCAUCUGGUGCUUUUACAAUCAGUAACUGUUACAUUUGUUCACUUCCUGCUUUCCAUAAUAUAGUUUAAGGUUUUUUUUUUUACUCUUUUUCAAGACUUUUCUUCCUUGUAUUUAGCAAACAUCAACUGCUUGUAUUGUUUCUUGAAUUGGCUCAUCGUUGUGCAUUGUUUGAGGGUCUUACUCAAUCCAUUCCAUAGUUUGAUUCCACAUACUGAAAUGCUAUGGCUUUUUAACGUAGUCCUAGCAUAUAAGUGUUUCAAAUUUAGAUCAUAUUUCUCCUCUCUUGUAGAGAGAAAAUACACUUUGUUCCUGUGCACAAUGUGAAUUUAAGAAAUAAAAUAGUCAAUUAUCUACAAAAUUAAACCAAUUGGUAUUCAGGAACAUUUGAUAGUUGCAUCCCUAAUUUCAAUAACGACGAGCAGAAUGUGUUCCAACUUAGAGGUUCGACCGUCUUCUAUUUUCUACAGCUUGCCUGAUGCUAAAAGUUGCGCUAAAGAAGAGUUAUGUUGAAGGAAUUGUUCUCGUGUUUCAGUCACUGCAUGAGGCGGCUGCAGGGGGUUGUCACUGCUGCCAGUGGCUUUUAAACUGAAAGAAACCUGCCAUAUUUUCAACAGCAGACGUCUAAAAGCCUAUAAAAAAAAAAACAACAAAUACGUCAUUAAUCACAACUGGCGGGUUGUUUGAAAUCAAUAUCCCUAUUUCAU